ensembl:lincRNA
CCUCCCUUUCCUUCUAACAUGAGCUGCCUCUCCUGACCUCAGAUGGCCUUGAUGCCUGACUGCUGUGUCCUGCUGGAGGAAUGAGGGCUGUAGGGUUCUUUCCUGUGUCAGGAGGCUUCCUUGCAGCAUGUGCUGAUCAGUUCCCAUCUGAUCCACCAGCUGUACAGAGAGGUCCAGGAGGCAAGGCGCUGAGACUAUCUGUCUACAGCUCUGUGAGUGAGCCACCAUGGAUGUGGGUUCUCCUGCUCAGUCAAGCCUCCAUGACCACAGUCCCAGCUGCACCUUGACCACCAGCCUGUGAGAGACCCUGAGUCAGAAACUCCACACCCAACUGAGCCACUCCCAAUCCCUGCCCUCAGAUGUUGUGUGAGAUAAUACAUGCUUGGAGUGCUAAGCCACUAGGUUUGGGGUAAUCUGUUUUGUAGCAGGAGAUAACCAGCACUUAUGCUAAUGUGUGCCCACCUGUACACCUAUGCACACAUGCUCCCUCCAUCCACACUUUCCAC